rnacentral:rRNA from 1 species
GGUAAAUCUCGUGCCAGCCACCGCGGUCAUACAAGAAACCCAAAUUAAUAGCCAUCCGGCGUAAAGAGUGGCCACAUGUUAUCCGCAUUAACUAAGAUCAAAACGAAACUGAGCUGUCAUAAGCCCAAGACUCACCUAAGCCCGACCUAAAAACCAUCUUAGUUCCCACGACCAAUUUAAACCCACGAAAGCCAGGACACAAACUGGGAUUAGAUACCCCACUAUGCCUGGCCUUAAAUCUUGAUAUCCCAUUACCAAUAUAUCCGCCCGAGAACUACGAGCACAAACGCUUAAAACUCUAAGGACUUGGCGGUGCCCCAAACCCACCUAGAGGAGCCUGUUCUAUAAUCGAUAAUCCACGAUUCACCCAACCAUCCUUUGCCAACACAGCCUACAUACCGCCGUCGCCAGCUCACCUCCAAUGAAAGAGCAACAGUGAGCCCAACAGUCUCCACUAAUAAGACAGGUCAAGGUAUAGCCCAUGGGAUGGAAGAAAUGGGCUACAUUUUCUAACAUAGAACAAACGGAAAAGGACAUGAAAACCGGUCCUAAGAAGGAGGAUUUAGCAGUAAGAUGAGAUCAUCCCCAGCUCACCUUAAGACGGCCCUGGGGCACGUACAUACCGCCCGUCACCCUCUUCAAUAAGCCACUAACACCAAUAAAUAAUACCCGCCCCGGCUAAAGACGAGGUAAGUCGUAACAAGGUAAGCAUACUGGA